AAAGGACUUAGAUAAACACAAGUUGGAGAUAAGUAGAAGAAAAAUUAGACAAAUACCAGCAGUUCAGGUUGGCUCAU
ensembl:misc_RNA